AUUGAACGCUGGCGGCAUGCCUUACACAUGCAAGUCGAACGGUAACAGGUCUUCGGAUGCUGACGAGUGGCGAACGGGUGAGUAAUACAUCGGAACGUGCCCGCGAGUGGGGGAUAACGAGGCGAAAGCUUUGCUAAUACCGCAUACGAUCUCAGGAUGAAAGCAGGGGACCGCAAGGCCUUGCGCUCACGGAGCGGCCGAUGGCAGAUUAGGGAGUUGGUGGGAUAAAAGCUUACCAAGCCGACGAUCGGUAGCUGGGCUGAGAGGACGACCAGCCACACUGGGACUGGGACACGGCCCAGACUCCUACGGGAGGCAGCAGUGGGGAAUUUUGGACAAUGGGCGCAAGCCUGAUCCAGCCAUGCCGCGUGCAGGAUGAAGGCCUUCGGGUUGUAAACUGCUUUUGUACGGAACGAAAAGACUCUGGUUAAUACCUGGGGUCCAUGACGGUACCGUAAGAAUAAGCACCGGCUAACUACGUGCCAGCCGCCGCCGUAACAC
rnacentral:rRNA from 1 species